CAGUCGCUUAGAGUCAAUCUGAUAUGCACCCUCCGUCAGCAAUCCCCACGCUCAAGGCCUCAGUGCUUCGCAUUUAGUUACUGACACACUCAUCCGCCGGCUCUUUACCUUACCUAAGAAAACAAGUCAACUUUAAACACGGCAAGUGAGCCGCAGUCAGGGGCGCACUUCAGCAAAGACAGUUUACCUAAGCACCUUCUUUCUUCUCGGUUAGUUUCUCUAUUUCAUUUGUCAGAUUCACUCAGCUUGCAUGCCUCUGUUGUCUAUCAGGUUUACUGAAGGUGUGAUAAAUAGCGUUUUUUUCAGCAGAGUGGACUGUAGAGGAGCCAGAAUUCAACUGGGUCUAAUGUGCUGACUUGAGACUCAGAUUGGAGAGGCCGUGGGUGAUCACUCAUCAUUUGAUCUGCGAUAAGAAAAUGGAGCAAUACUGCAGUUUUCUGCUCAGCUGACACGUCGCUGUUCUGUCCGUGAGAGGGUUUUAGAGAUGAUGACGUAACAUCAAAAUCAUUGUUUGUGGCUAUUGAAACGAUGCAGAAGUGCAAAUUCAGGUUGGCUUUGCAUGACCUCAGGUUUCCUGAAGACGAUCAGUUGCAGAGGACCAUUUCCUGAAAAUAUUACGAGCUCUCUUAAAAUUAACGCCCUCGUAAAAAAAGUAAUUACACUUACCAGGGACCAUUCCAGCAAGUGUAGAGGUGGGGUAGCUGCCCUGCCCAGUAGGGGGAACGUGAGGGCAUGAAAUGACCUUGGACUGCUAUUGGUGCCCUCUCAAAAAGAAACAGAUGCAUGAUGCCUCUGGCUGUUUCCCCCAUUUACCAGCGCUGGACACGGAGCUCUGUUGCUUUCAGGCCCGGGCUCUCAGUAUUUUUUUUUCUCCUUUCCCCCUCCUCUCCUUCCAUCUCUCUGAAGAGAUUUGGAACAAGGGGGAUCCCUUCAGCACCUGCUCAGGUUUUCAGCGGGUCGGAGGGGUGCCCAUUUACACGGUACCAUCCUACUGGCACCAGGAAGACUUCCAUUAUAUGGCUCGGCAGGAACAGUGCUUAAGAAUCCGCACUAGUCAUUCAUUGUGAAGUUAAUACAUGAAAGUGUGGAAUGUGCUUGACUCAUUGGGCAAGUACUGCCUCUGAUCCCAACAGAAGCACAGGGCCGUUCCUAUGCCUCACCAGAAGCAAGAGGUGGUCUGCACUAAGACCCCCGGUGUGUCCCGUCCCAGGUGCAAGAAAGGCCACCUGCCAUGAGGGUGCUCCCUAGACCGAGACUGCUUUCAUACAAAGGACAAAAACACACCUUUCUUCUCCAGAGGCCCAACUUUCUGGAGGGAACUCUACCUCCCACAUAUUACCAAGGGGGGAAAAAAGCCCUUUCUUUUCACAUAACAUUAUCCAGCUAUCAUUUGAGAAGGGGGCACAGCAAUUUUCAAUCAUCCUGUCCUCCGCCCACACAGAACUCAUUGGCUUUGAUGGCUCCUGCAUAAUUAUGUGAAUUUUAUUAAAAGCUCAGCGUAUUAAUCUCAGCCCGACAGUUGGCUAUCAGUAAACUUAACCUUCUCUGAGGUAAUAACAGCCGCAACAAUGAAACAAUCUUUCAAUUAGCCAGGCUGACAUUAACCACCGCAUACCACAAGAAAAAAACAAAAACGAUGCAACAAUAAAGGCCAAACCAUGCUAGACCGCCAUAUUUCUUUCUGAGAACUAUGAGCUGAAUGAAAACCUUUCAAUGGAAAAGUGGUAAAACAAUCCAUCGUUUUUUUGCACAGUGGCACUGGCCGACAAUUUCCCAUAAUCACUUUGAAUGUUUGGGUCUUGCAUGCAAGUAGCAGCGCCUGUCUGUUUCGAUCGCCUCUCUCUUACAUGGCCCCUCAGAGCAGGCAGCACUAAUCCAUCCACUUUAGAUCAACAUGUCACAUUCCACUCUCACCUGUCCGCUCAACUUAUAAAGCUCACUUUACCACAUAAAACACUCACAUAGACUAGAAUAUGAAUGUCCUGCC